rnacentral:rRNA from 1 species
GACAGAGGGUGCAAACGUUGCUCGGAAUCACUGGGCGUAAAGGGCGUGUAGGCGGGAAGGAAAGUCAGAUGUGAAAAUCCCUGGGCUCAACCCAGGAACUGCAUUUGAAACUCCCUUUCUUGAGUGUCGGAGAGGAAAAGUGGAAUUCCUGGUGUAGAGGUGAAAUUCGUAGAUAUCAGGAGGAACACCAAUGGCGAAGGCAGCACUCUGGGACGUGACUGACGCUGAGACGCGAAAAGCGUGGGGAGCAAACAGG